UGAUUGUUUCAGUUUAGGACGAGACUAGAACUGGUAUAGAAAAGGAAGCACAACCUAGUGAAAAAAGACGGCACAGAUAAAAAGGGGAUAAAUCUGGAAGUAAGUGCAGUUUGAAAGAUAUUUGAAAGGUCAGCUAGUAAAGUUAGAAUACAUCAAAUAUGUCAGAAAUCUUAAGUCCACCUCAAACUUAGCCAGAGAAGACCGUGCUAUCAAUAGAAAACUGUUUACAUAUACUAGAUGGAUUCAGCAAAGCAGGCACGAUUACACCUGUAUGAAAAUGGGUUAAAAACACUGCUAGUCACUGAACAUCCAUUUCUCCAUCUUUCACCAUGGGUUACAUUAGUGAAUAAUACUGUAAGCCAACUAGUUACUCACCUUGGCAGAAUCCCAUAUUGGCAUACAAAUUGCACUUCAGAAUUGAGUAAUUUCCAGGGGGAAAAAACUACGAUGUCAUGAAAACUAGAAGAUGAAUCACAUUAACCGUACAUCUGCAUUUCUACUUCCCCUGCAGCACCGCCACCAUCCUUCCCAGAAAUGUGAUAAGAAGCCCGUAUUAAGGUGAAGAGAACUAAAAACAAUGGAUGUGCAAUUUCCAAUUAAAAAUAUAUACGAGGAAAUGGACAUUUUUUUACGAAGCAGUACAACAGGUUUUUGUUUGGACACCAAUAGCCUGUGAUUUCAAGAAUAAAAUGGAUUUAUAUUUUCAAGCAACCUCUCAGCUGAAAGUGUAAUACAAUGCUUGCUAGUUUCCAAUUUUAUUCAAUUACCGUCAGAUGUAUCAAUGAGACUGUUUGAUUCCAUUUGUUCCAAAAAAUUCAAUAAAAUCCAUUAUCUGAAGACAUACGUGGAAGUUUUACUUCUAUCAAAUUUCAAACUUAGAAUUCUCAGAAUAGCAAUGUUGAUUUUAAUGGGUUGCAAAUUGCAAGGUUAAUUUUAAUGGGUUCUAACCUGGUGCAGGUGAACCAUGGGGGUGGGUAGCACAUGUGAGAUCAAGCAUCUCACAUGUGGAUGAAGGGGUAAGAAAGAAGGAAAAGGGUUGGGAUGUUUAUGGGUGAGGAAGGGGCGGCGGUUGUCAGGGUGAGGCCUGGAGAUGGGUGGUGGACAGGCUGGGGGAGUGUGGAUGAAGAUUGAAUUUUCUAUUUUUCUGUUUUNNN
rnacentral:lncRNA from 1 species